rnacentral:rRNA from 1 species
CAGCAGCCACGGUAAUACAGAGGGUGCGAGCGUUAAUCGGAUUUACUGGGCGUAAAGCGUGCGUAGGCGGCUUCUUAAGUCGGAUGUGAAAUCCCUGAGCUUAACUUAGGAAUUGCAUUCGAUACUGGGAAGCUAGAGUAUGGGAGAGGAUGGUAGAAUUCCAGGUGUAGCGGUGAAAUGCGUAGAGAUCUGGAGGAAUACCGAUGGCAAAGGCAGCCAUCUGGCCUAAUACUGACGCUGAGGUACGAAAGCAUGGGGAGCAAACAGGAUUAGAUACCCGGGUAGUCCCUGUCUCUUAUAC